rnacentral:lncRNA from 1 species
UAUUAUUUUUUCAAUGCUUUUGGGAAAUGACAAGGAUCACUUCUUCAUUAUAGACUUGCUGUGUUCCAACUCCCAUUGAAGAUUGAAAAAGCCCUUUUCCCCACAACAACCCAGUGAGGGAAGGAGUGCAGCGGCCCAUCAUCCCUUUUUUAUAGAAGAGGAACUGAGGCUCAGACAGCCACACCUGGCCCUCAACUCCCAUUUCUCCUUCUGGUUCUGAGCCCUGAGUUAUCCCUGUCAUGCAUGGAUGCAGACAUAGUGCCAAUGGCUGACUCACCAGGAAGGCCUG